UGGCCAGUAAAUUACUAAUUUGGGGAUUUUGUAUAUUUUCGAUUUCCGAGCCGUGUUUCACGAUUUCAAUAAAUUGUAAGCUGUGAACCGUUAAAAUAAUCAAGCCAAGUAAGGAGGACAAGUGCAUUUAAAUGAAUUUCCUUUUGCUUUCAUACAUUUUCCUCCAUUUUGACAUGGAGCUGUGGAACAUGGUGAACCUAAAAUGACCUGAGAGGACAAGUGCAUUUAAAAGAAUUCCCUUCUGUUGAGCAGUUUCCUCCGUUUCGACAAGGAGCUGACGAACAUGGAGGACAAGUGCAUUUGAAAGAAUUCCCUACUGUUGAGCAGUUUCCUCCGUUUCGACAAGGAGCUGACGAACAUGGUCGACAAGAACAUUCAAAAGAACCUCCACUAUUAUUACAUCUAGCACCAUUCUUGCAAGGCGAAGAAUAACAUGGCGGUUCUAAUUAUAUGAGGUAAAGAUAUUUCAGUUUAACAAUGAAUUUGUCCCGUAUUUAGUUAAAUAUAGCCAUCGUAGAUUAUAAUUAAUCAUCAUUUUCCCCCUAAGUAAGUCUAUUAUAUGUAUGUCCUCCUGGAGCUUGUCUCCUGAACAACUCUUUCAACUUACUUUUGAACUGACAUUUUUUUCCUUCAUAUCCAGCUGGGCACAAACAUUGGAAAGUUUUUCCUUGAACUUUACAUGUUGCAUUAUUUUGACAUGGACCAGAUGAACAUGGUGUGACUAUAGUGAAAAUAGAUAUAUAAAAUUUUCUAAUAUUCUUGAAACAGAACGAACAGAAUAUAGGUGGGUUGUACCCAAACCACAUCAUAUGCGAUUCUAAUUCAUUUUAUUAGAGUUUUGGCCUUAAUUUGUUUAUAAAUACAUUGAAACGUCUCCGUAUCUAAAACAUAUAGUUUAAUAAAAAUAUUAAUAAAAAUAUAU